CCCUUAGAUGUCCUGGGCCGCACGCGCGUUACACUGAUGAAUUCAACGAGCUUAUAACCUUGGCCGAGAGGCCUGGGCAAUCUUGUUAACGUGCAUCGUGAUAGGGAUAGAUUAUUGAAAUUAUUAAUCUUGAACGAGGAAUUCCUAGUAAACGCAGAUCAUCAAUCUGCAUUGAUUACGUCCCUGCCCUUUGUACACACCGCCCGUCGCACCUACCGAUUGGAUGGUCCGGUGAAGCCUCGGGAUUGUGGUUCUUGCCGCUUUAUUGUGGCGUGACCGCGAGAACUUGUCUAAACCUUAUCAUCUAGAGGAAGGUGAAGUCGUAACA
rnacentral:rRNA from 1 species